CCUACGGGGGGCAGCAGUGGGGAAUUUUGGACAAUGGACGAAAGUCUGAUCCAGCAAUGCCGCGUGCAGGACGAAGGCCUUCGGGUUGUAAACUGCUUUUGUACGGAACGAAACGGUCUGCUUUAAUACAGCGGGCUAAUGACGGUACCGUAAGAAUAAGCACCGGCUAACUACGUGCCAGCAGCCGCGGUAAUACGUAGGGUGCGAGCGUUAAUCGGAAUUACUGGGCGUAAAGCGUGCGCAGGCGGUUAUAUAAGUCAGAUGUGAAAUCCCCGGGCUCAACCUGGGACCUGCAUUUGAGACUGUAUAGCUAGAGUACGGUAGAGGGGGAUGGAAUUCCGCGUGUAGCAGUGAAAUGCGUAGAUAUGCGGAGGAACACCGAUGGCGAAGGCAAUCCCCUGGACCUGUACUGACGCUCAUGCACGAAAGCGUGGGGAGCAAACAGGAUUAGAUACCCUAGUAGUC
rnacentral:rRNA from 1 species